UACGGGGGGGGCAAGCGUUGUUCGGAAUUACUGGGCGUAAAGGGCUCGUAGGUGGCCAACUAAGUCAGACGUGAAAUCCCUCGGCUUAACCGGGGAACUGCGUCUGAUACUGGAUGGCUUGAGUUUGGGAGAGGGACGCGGAAUUCCAGGUGUAGCGGUGAAAUGCGUAGAUAUCUGGAGGAACACCGGUGGCGAAGGCGGCGUCCAGGACCAACACUGACACUGAGGAGCGAAAGCCAGGGGAGCAAACGGG
rnacentral:rRNA from 1 species